ACUCGAAAAUCACAAUCAGAUUAGUAUAUACGAGUUUUGCUUGAUUUUAGUUAAAAUCCAUUGCUAUAACACACGAUAUUUUCGUCAAAAUUGAAUAUUCUUAUUUUUCAACCAAACAUUUCCUGUUAUCAAAUAAUGAUAAAUAAGUACAUCUCAAACUGACGGAACUCGAAAAUCUCAAUCGGAUUAGUGUAUACGAGUUUCGCUUGAUUUUAUUUAAAAUCCCUUGCUAUAGCACACGAUUUUUUUUGUAAAAUAGAAUAUUCUUAUUUCCAACCAAACUUUUUUUGUUAUCAAAUAAUGAUAAAUAAGUACUUCUCGAACUGACGAUAGUCGAAAACCUCAAUCGGAUUAGUGUAUACGAGUUUUGCUUGAUUUCAGUUAAAAUCCCUUACUUGACGAGUCUAGGUGGUCCCUACACGGGUCUAAGAGGGCCUUGGCAAGUCAAAGCAGCCUUUUGGAGGCCCACGGUAGGUCAAGACGUCCCCUUGGCGGCUCUAAGUUUGUCUCGGCAACCCUUAAGUGGGUCUAGGCGGCCCUUAAUGGGUCCAGCUUGUCCCUACGUAGGUCUAGGAGGGCAAAGGUAGUCCCUUGGUAGGUCAAGACGGGUAAAAGCGGCCCCUUGGCAUCUCAAGGCGGUCCCGUAGCAGGUUAAGGUGGGUUAAAGCGAUCAAGGCAGUCCCUUGACAGGUCUAGAUGGGUCAAGGCAGCCCAAAACGGGUCUAGGCUACCCCAAAAUGGGUCUAGGCGGUCUCUACGCGGGUUCUAAGUAGGUCUAGGUUGGUCUUGACGACCCUAGGCGGGUUAAGGCACCGCCUUGGCGGCCCGUAGUGGGUCUAGGUGGUACCUUGGUAGGUCAAUAGGGGAUAAAGUGGCCCAUUGGCAUGUCAAGGCGGGUCAAGAUGGCCAAGACGGUCUCUUGGCAGGUUAAGGUGGGUCAAAGCCGCCCUAAGCGGGUCUCGGUUGCCCCUUGGUGGGUCUAGGUGCUCCCUACGUGGGUCUAGGAGGGCCAAGACGGUCCCUUGUCAGGUCAAUGCAGGUCAAAGCGGCCCUUGGCAUGUCAACCCGGUCCCUUAGCAGGUUAAGGCAGGUCAAAGCGGCGCCUUGGCAUGUCAAGGCGGGUCAAGGCGGUCCAUUGGCAGAUCAAGGCAGUGUUAGGUGGGUCUCGGCUGCCCCUUUUCGGGUCUAGGCUACCCCUAAGCUGGUCUAGGAGGUCCAUACUGAUAAGACGUAUUUGCACACGCAUCAAUUAACCCUGUCAACAAAUCAAUCAUAGUAUAAAGCAAGCAGGGAUCGUUCUAAACCGGGGAUCCAACUACAGGGUAGAUCCAUCUAAUCUAAUAAAAAUGUCGAAAUAAGCAUAUAGGGUUUAAAGGUUUUGAUGAUUUUGGAAUAAACAUUGAAAAUAAAUCCUAAAUUACUUCUAUACAUAUUUACAUGUGAUCAACCAACAAUCAUGCAAACUCAAACCAAACAACCAUGCAAGAACAAAGAAGACAAUCUCUAAUCUCAUUUAAGUCUAUACCGUGAGCAAUUAUACAACCUAAAUUUGAUAUGCACAUAAGUUCCUACGUGGUUCCUAUGACAUAGACCAACUUAGAAUUAGACUACGGGUUUCAUUCAACAUCGCGACACAAACAAGCUCGGCUACGUGCUCUACUUAUUGGUCACACACAUAAAC
rnacentral:lncRNA from 1 species